rnacentral:rRNA from 1 species
GUUUGAGUCCUGGCUACAGGACGAACGGCUGGCGGCGUGCUUAACACAUGCAAGUCGAACGAGAAUCUGCGGAACGAGGAUUCGUCCAAGUGAAGCAGAGGACAGUGGCGACGGGUGAGUAACGCGUGAGGAACCUGCCUUUCAGAGGGGGACAACAGUUGGAAACGACUGCUAAUACCGCAUAACACAUAGGAGUCGCAUGGCUCUUAUGUCAAAGAUUUAUCGCUGAAAGAUGGCCUCGCGUCUGAUUAGCUAGUUGGUGAGGUAACGGCCCACCAAGGCGACGAUCAGUAGCCGGACUGAGAGGUUGAACGGCCACAUUGGGACUGAGAUACGGCCCAGACUCCUACGGGAGGCAGCAGUGGGGAAUAUUGGGCAAUGGGCGCAAGCCUGACCCAGCAACGCCGCGUGAAGGAAGAAGGCUUUCGGGUUGUAAACUUCUUUUGUCAGGGACGAGCAGAAGACGGUACCUGACGAAUAAGCCACGGCUAACUACGUG